rnacentral:rRNA from 1 species
UACGUAGGUGACCAGCGUUGUCCGGAUUUACUGGGCGUAAAGAGCGCGCAGGCGGUCGUUCAAGUCGAGUGUGAAAGCCCCCGGCUCAACUGGGGAGGGUCACUUGAUACUGAUCGACUCGAAGGCAGGAGAGGGAAGCGGAAUUCCCGGUGUAGUGGUGAAAUGCGUAGAUAUCGGGAGGAACACCAGUGGCGAAGGCGGCUUCCUGGCCUGUUCUUGACGCUGAUGCGCGAAAGCGUGGGGAGCAAACAGG